rnacentral:rRNA from 1 species
CGCGUAGGCGGCGCGGUAAGUCACCUGUGAAACCUCCCGGCUCAACUGGGAGCCUGCAGGCGAAACUACCGUGCUGGAGUGUGGGAGGGGUGCGUGGAAUUCCCGGUGUAGCAGUGAAAUGCGUAGAUAUCGGGAGGAACACCUGUGGCGAAAGCGGCGCACUGGACCACAACUGACGCUGAGGCGCGAAAGCUAGGGGAGCAAACAGGAUUAGAUACCCUGGUAGUCCUAGCCCUAAACGAUGGAUGCUUGGUGUAGCGGGUACCCAAUCCCGCUGUGCCGCAGCUAACGCGAUAAGCAUCCCGCCUGGGGAGUACGGUCGCAAGGCUGAA